rnacentral:rRNA from 1 species
GUGCCAGCCGCCGCGGUAAUACGGAAGGUCCGGGCGUUAUCCGGAUUUAUUGGGUUUAAAGGGAGCGCAGGCUGGCUUUUAAGCGCGACGUGAAAUGCGGCGGCUCAACCGUCCGAAGUGCGUCGCGAACUGGAGGCCUUGAGUGAGUUCGACGCCGGCGGAAUUCGUGGUGUAGCGGUGAAAUGCUUAGAUAUCACGAGGAACCCCGAUUGCGAAGGCAGCCGGCGAGGCCUUUACUGACGCUAAAGCUCGAAGGUGCGGGUAUCGAACAGGAUUAGAUACCCUGGUAGUCCGCACGGUAAACGAUGGAUGCCCGCUGUUUGCGAUACACUGUGAGCGGCCAAGCGAAAGCGUUAAGCAUCCCACCUGGGGAGUACGCCGGCAACGGUGAAACUCAAAGGAAUUGACGGGGGCCCGCACAAGCGGAGGAACAUGUGGUUUAAUUCGAUGAUGCGCGAGGAACCUUACCCGGGCUUGAACUGCAGCGGAACGAUUCAGAGAUGAUGAGGUCCUUCGGGACCGCUGUGGAGGUGCUGCAUGGUUGUCGUCAGCUCGUGCCGUGAGGUGUCGGCUUAAGUGCCAUAACGAGCGCAACCCCUCUCUUCAGUUGCCAUCGGGUUAUGCCGGGCACUCUGGAGACACUGCCACCGUAAGGUGUGAGGAAGGUGGGGAUGACGUCAAAUCAGCACGGCCCUUACGUCCGGGGCUACACACGUGUUACAAUGGGUGGUACAGAGAGCCGGUCUGCCGCAAGUCAGAUCCAAUCAAGAAAGCCAUCCUCAGUUCGGACUGGGGUCUGCAACCCGACCCCACGAAGCUGGAUUCGCUAGUAAUCGCGCAUCAGCCAUGGCGCGGUGAAUACGUUCCCGGGCCUUGUACACACCGCCCGU